rnacentral:rRNA from 1 species
CCUACGGGAGGCAGCAGUGAGGAAUAUUGGUCAAUGGUCGGGAGACUGAACCAGCCAAGCCGCGUGAGGGAUGAAGGUACAGAGUAUCGUAAACCUCUUUUGUCAGGGAACAAAGGCGGGGACGUGUCCCCGGAUGAGUGUACCUGAAGAAAAAGCAUCGGCUAACUCCGUACCAGCAGCCGCGGUAAUACGGAGGAUGCGAGCGUUAUCCGGAUUUAUUGGGUUUAAAGGGUGCGCAGGCGGUCUGUUAAGUCAGCGGUAAAAGCCCGGGGCUCAACCCCGGCCCGCCGUUGAGACUGGCAGUCUCGAGUUGGAGAGAGGUAUGCGGAAUGCGCGGUGUAGCGGUGAAAUGCAUAGAUAUCGCGCAGAACUCCGAUUGCGAAGGCAGCAUGCCGGCUCCACACUGACGCUGAGGCACGAGAGCGUGGGUAUCGAACAGGAUUAGAUACCCCUGUAGUC